AUUGACCACAGAGCCUUUUCGAACCUCAUACUGCAACUGCUCCAGCCGCCCGCCCUCUCUACCCACCAGGGCUACAGGGAGAGAAAAAGUUGAUGAGAGGGGAAAAAAGGAAACUGCUUUUCCCUCUGUGUCAUACUGCAUAUCUAAAGAUCUGUUCUGGACCCAAUUAUUUACCUCACACUGUAACAGCCUUCUCCUGACACUGACAAAAUGCCUGAGGAUGAAAGAAUGAU